AUGCUGUCCAUACAUCAAUUUCUUGGACUUCUGCUUUUCUGGAUUUCAGCCUCCAGAUGUGACAUUGUGCUGACUCAGUCUCCAGCCACUCUGUCUGUGACUCCAGGAGAUAGAGUCACUCUCUCCUGCAGGGCCAGCCAGAGUAUUAACAAUAACCUACACUGGUAUCAACAAAAAUCACAUGAGUCUCCAAGGCUUCUCAUAAAGUAUGCUUCCCAGCCCAUCUCUGGGAUUCUCUCCAGGUUCAGUGGUAGUGGCUUUGGGACAGAUUUCACUCUCAGUAUCAACAGUGUGGAACAGGAAGAUUUUGGAAUGUAUUAUUGUCAACAAGAUUACAGCUGGCCUUCCACAGUGAUGUAG